CAAUUAUAGCAGCAACAAAGGCCACCAUGGUCCGGUGUGCAGUGGCCUUUUUUGAAUUCAAAAAAUGCGCAAUGAUCAAUGCAUGGCUGGUCGGAUAAAGUGUCUCAUUCACAACUUUUAAAUUUGAUACACAUCGUAGGGAAGGGGAGUUGGUUUUGGAUCUAUCCACAACAAAAUAUAGCAAACUUAGAAUAUAUAAAAUACUUAAGUUACUUGGGUUAGUUUGAAUUACAUACGUAAAGGUAUGUGCGCUUACACAAAGUGCGCAUAAAUAAAUCCCAAAAACAAGCAGAAAGAUUGAUUAGAUAGAUAAAUGGUUGUACCUGCAUGACAUGAGAAUAGAGUAGACAUCAUCACAAGAGCUACCAAGCAUAGAGCUCUUGUGUUGCUCUUGGUAAGUCCCAUAAGAAGUGGCUUGUUACUUAUUUCUUGUAUGUAUGUUUGUUCUUGUAGUUUGUA
rnacentral:lncRNA from 1 species